CUGUUUACUUGUACGGUAGUUUUACUGCCGCUCUCUUCGCUUUGAGUUUAACUUUUACAAGAAGGGUAGAAGACAAAAUGUUUCCGACAAUCGCCUUGUCACGUUGAAAGUUUACCGUGAGAAUUGAGGGCCAAAUACGGCGGUGGUUUUCCAGAUGUAAACAAACAAAUUAGUGAGCGGAAGUGGUCAUGGUUAAUAAUAAGGUCAAGCAAUUAAUACAUAAACAGACUAUAAAUAUGCGGAAAUUUACAAAAGCUGGCCUUCCAGUGCAC